CAUUCAUCUGCUACGGUCCAGAAGUCUCAAAAACAAGUUCAAAGCAAGUGAUCAGACUGAGGCUGAAGAGCUCUGUGGAUCCCAAUGACCCUGCUGUGAUGGAGGCAAUGCUGAAGCAGCUCCAACAGAAGCUGAAGGACCAGGGGCUGAAUGACGACGUCAGACUGAGCUUUAGGAAGCAGUCAGAUGGAAAAGUCUUCCACAAGGAGAAGAAGAAGACGGGAAGCAGAAAGGACGAACUUUAAUUU